rnacentral:rRNA from 1 species
AUUGAACGCUGGCGGCAGGCCUAACACAUGAAAGUCGAGCGAGCGGCGGACGGGUGAGUAAUGUAUGGGGGCUGUCCGAUAGAGGGGGAUAACUACUGGAAACGAUGGCUAAUACCGCAUACUAUCGGAUAACCCAUAUGGGAUUAGCUAGUAGGUGGGGUAAAGGCUCACCUAGGCGACGAUCUCUAGCUGUUCUGAAAGGAUGAUCAGCCACACUGGAACUUAGACACGGCCCCGACUCCUACGGAGGAAGCAUUGGGGAAUAUUGCACAAUGGGCGCAAGCCUGAUGCAGCCAUGCCGCGUGUAUGAAGAAGGCCUUAGGGUUGUAAAGUACUUUCAGCGGGGAGGCGUUACCCGCAGAAGAAGCACCGGCUAACUCCGUGCCAGCCGCCGCGGUAAUUC